CGCUGGUGACUGGAUACGUUUGAAGGAAGCAGACAAGAAACACUCUCCAGUGGGAAUUCUUCAUUCAAUCGAUCGUGUUGGCAAUGUAGCUGUUGCCUUUCUUGGUGUAGAAACUCUCUGGAAGGGUAACUCUUCCCAGUUUCAGAUGGCAGAAUCGUUUUGCGUUGGACAAUUUGUACGGAUAAAAGCCAGCAUUCUGAGACCACGAUUCGAAUGGCCUCGUAAAAAAGGAAAUGUUUGGGCUACAGGGAGGAUUUGGUGGAUCCUACCCAAUGGCUGCCUCAUGGUCAAG
rnacentral:misc_RNA from 1 species